rnacentral:rRNA from 1 species
UACGUAGGGGGCAAGCGUUGUCCGGAAUUAUUGGGCGUAAAGAGCAUGUAGGCGGUUCGCUAAGUUGAAUGUGAAAACUCUGGGCUUAACCCAGAGCCUGCAUCCAAAACUGGCGAACUGGAGUACUGGAGGGGAAAGCGGAAUUCCUGGUGUAGCGGUGAAAUGCGUAGAUAUCAGGAGGAACACCGGUGGCGAAGGCGGCUUUCUGGACAGUAACUGACGCUGAGGCGCGAAAGCUAGGGGAGCAAACAGG